UGGCGGCCGUAGCGCGGUGGUCCCACCUGACCCCAUGCCGAACUCAGAAGUGAAACGCCGUAGCGCCGAUGGUAGUGUGGGGUCUCCCCAUGCGAGAGUAGGGAACUGCC
rnacentral:rRNA from 4 species